UCCUUACCUUGUUUUUUACCAUUACAACACAUACUUAUACUACUACCAAAAGAUGACCUAAUCAACAUAGGUUUACUUUAUUGUUCAUAACAUCAAUACCGAAACCCAUUAACACUUUGGGCCUUAAUAACAUUCAUGGCCCAGUGGCCUUAAUUCCAAUCUACUUUGACUUUAUCAUUACUUGACUCUUCUUCUUCCUUCUCUUCUUUCACGUAUCCUCCUCCUCCUUUCUCCUUCUUCUUCUUCUUUCUGUAUCUUCUUCUUGUACCUACAGAUUGAGCAAAGAGUCAUCAAUCUCCAACACUUCUGACUUAAGCAAUAGAUGGUGUGGAACCACUCAUAUAUAUGGCCAACCAUAAGGAGUUAUAUGCAUUUCUUGAUAGUGUCGGCUUACCCAAAAGGAAUCAAAUCCCAGACCGACUUAUUUUGUAAUCUUGAUCCAUCAAAGAGUCUACCCCAAUAGAGAGACACCUAUAGAUGGAUAUGAGUAUACGACC
rnacentral:lncRNA from 1 species